GACGAACGCUGGCGGCGUGCUUAACACAUGCAAGUCGAACGAUGAAGCCGGAGCUUGCUCUGGUGAAUUAGUGGCGAACGGGUGAGUAACACGUGAGUAACCUGCCCUUGACUCUGGGAUAACUGCUAGAAAUGGUAGCUAAUACCGGAUACGACCCUCGGAGGCAUCUCCAGGGGGUGGAAAGAAUUUCGGUCAAGGAUGGACUCGCGGCCUAUCAGCUAGUUGGUGAGGUAACGGCGCACCAAGGCGACGACGGGUAGCCGGCCUGAGAGGGUGACCGGCCACACUGGGACUGGGACACGGCCCAGACUCCUACGGGAGGCAGCAGUGGGGAAUAUUGCACAAUGGGCGCAAGCCUGAUGCAGCAACGCCGCGUGAGGGAUGACGGCCUUCGGGUUGUAAACCUCUUUUAGUAGGGAAGAAGCGAAAGUGACGGUACCUGCAGAAAAAGCACCGGCUAACUACGUGCCAGCCGCCGCAGUAA
rnacentral:rRNA from 1 species